CUCUUGUAACUGCGUUUAGCUGGUAAGGCACCCAAGGCUGCCUGUGACAGGGGAGCCUUUCUGGAGAGGCUGGAUUUGUUCCCACGGAAAUAGCGGAGGUACCAAGAGAGCAGAGUGGAAGCUGUAAGACCUCUUGAGACCCAGGUGUGGAAUAAACACAACGUUUCUUCUGCCACAUUCUUUCGGUUCAUCAACUCAUAAGCCCAGCCCAGAUUUAAGGGGCAUAAAAUACAUUCCGUUUCUUGAUGGAGGAGCUGAAAGAAUUGGUGCAAUAUUUGCCGUCUACCAGGCAAAAGGCAGAAUAAGAAAGUCACACAACCCUCUAGGUGGGCCAAGGAGGAUAAUGGAAAAAGAACCACCCCCCAGAAGGCAUUGCCUAGAGACUCGAAGAGCAAAGACAAGGUUGCUUCUUUCCAAGAACAGAAUCAAGACUUAAAGACUUCUCUGUAUACAGAGAAUGGAAGACCUUAAGAAUGUCUGCCCAGAGGAUUUCAAAUUUGAUACAAACCUGUGGCUGAUUCUUUUCUCAUAUAGCUUGUCACAGAAUGUUGAGAAGAGUUCCCUGUGCUAUAUGAUGCAUCUCCAUGAAAACACUACACGCAUUCCUUUUUGAGGAAAUUUCUGGGUUUGCCCUCUCAGCAAAGCAUCACCGUGUGCAUGUGCUGGCCAGUGUUCAUUUCUGGUCUGCCUGUGAGAACAUCAAGGGUUCAUGGAGAUCAUUUUCUUGUACGGCACACAGCAGACUCCAGAGGGAUCUGUGCCAUCAGAACAUUUGGUUUCUAGUCUCCCAAGUCCUCUUUGUUUUUGAUCGUGACAUUUCUUCAUGCUCAGAUGCAUACGUGAUGUAACAUUCUUUGUUGAUGUUCUUAAAUGUGUUUUAGAGUUAUUUUGGCUUAGCACGAAUUAAGAAUGGGGAACUAAACUUUUCUGAUUAAAAUGUUACUCUCCCCCCCCCCCUCCUCCUUCUUAUUCCCCUGCCUUUCUGUACCAGGCAUAUCUGUAUGGCUUUAAACCCAAGACUCGUAUUUAAUAGACCCUAGACUGUUAUGUUGGAAAUAGGGCAAAUGAGAAGUCUCUCUGGGGGGUUUGUGAGCCUUUGUUGUGAUGGGGGAGAAUGCCCUAAAGGGGAGUUCCUAGCAGCCUAAUUGUUGAGAAAUGAUGGAAGUUCAACAGCAUGGAAAUUUACUUCUCGCUUCAGCUGAAAAGGUGCUUAUAAAGGUAGCUGGGCUAUUUUAGCAAUUUGCCUUAUUUUGAAAAUCCAAUUUGAAAGCUUCAUUAAAGGGCACUAAUCUAAUGUCUUAAGGGAAUAUGUGUAAAGGAGCUUAUCAACAAUCUUAGAUGUUUGCCGGUGUGUAGGUGAACUCAACUCCCCAAGCUGGCAUUACCUGGUUACCUGUAUGCCCUUUCAUUUCAAACACAAUACCAAAUAAAUUCAAAAGCAUCCAGACCAAGAGACUAACAGCACAGCUUCUGCUUGCCGCACGACAGGCCAAUAAAUUGGGAGAUGAGUUCUUGGGGCAAGGAAUAGUGAGUGACUUUAUUCGGAAAGCCAGCAGACCGAGAAGAGGGCGGACUAAUGUCCUGGAGAACCAUCUUACCCCAGUCAGAAUUCAGGCUUCUUUUAUAGUAAAAAGGGGAGGAGGUGUGGUUGGUUGUUACAAACUUCUUGGGGCAGGAAUCCUCUGUUCUUGCAGCUGUCCACCUAGGUCAGGCCAGGAUGCUCCUGUAAACCUCCAACAAGGCAAAUUGUUGUUCUCUGUUCUGCAACUUUUUACCUCUGUAUGAAUGGAAGAGUGUUAUGCUCUUAAAGGUCAGAGCCUUGAAAAUAGGCUAUCAUGUGUAUUCCAGGCUAUAGGCAACAUUCUUAACUCAAAGCAAAAGCUAUAGAAUACAAAGAUUAAAGUAAAAGAAACGGAUCUAAUAUGGAGUCAGAUUUGUUCUUCCCUGUUGCACUUCCUUUUUCCCCCAUUACCACCACUUCCCACCCCUAAAGGUAGGAUGCUUUCAGUGCAGAAACACCUCUGCAUCGGCAUCAGCAUCACAGAUGUCAUCCAGAAGUCCGAAAAGGUAGACAGCGGUUUUAGUGAGGUUAGUGGUAGUUAAUAUACAGCAGGCCAAGGGCCUUAAGGAAUGGUAACUGUUUCAGAUUGUUUGAGGAAAUACAAACACCUUCCAAAUGCCUAGAAGAGUCACAUACUGCUCACUGCCUGCCUAAUAUUCCCAGAAGUAUAUUUCAGGCCCACAUUGGGAUGCAAAAGUUAAAAUUGGAUAGCUGAAUUCUGAUUACCUGCAUGGCCUCAAAUAAACUUGA